CGGCGGACGGGUGAGUAACACGUGGAUAACCUACCUAUAAGACUGGGAUAACUUCGGGAAACCGGAGCUAAUACCGGAUAAUAUAUUGAACCGCAUGGUUCAAUGGUGAAAGACGGUUUUGCUGCCACUUAUAGAUGGAUCCGCGCCGCAUUAGCUAGUUGGUAAGGUAACGGCUUACCAAGGCAACGAUGCGUAGCCGACCUGAGAGGGUGAUCGGCCACACUGGAACUGAGACACGGUCCAGACUCCUACGGGAGGCAGCAGUC
rnacentral:rRNA from 1 species